rnacentral:rRNA from 1 species
GUCUACGGCCAUACCACCCUAAACGCACCCAAUCUCGUCUGAUCUCGGAAGCUAAGCAGGGCGGAGCCUGGUUAGUACUUGGAUGGGAGAAGUAGAUGCGGUAUGAU